ACAACAGAGGCAGCAUGCUCUUCACCUGCAGCAACAACGACAAGCAAUGCAACAACAGCAAACAAUGCAGCAACAACAGGCAAUGCAGCAACAACAUGGAAUGCAACAGCAACAGGCAAUGCAACAGCAACAGGCCUUACGGCAUCAACAAACUGCGACGCAACAGAAUGGCUAUCCGGUGUCGGCCGGAAUUUCAGCCGGUUGCCAUCAGGCUGCUAAUACACAGCCCCAUAGCUCAGGGUGAUCGUACCGAGGCAUGUAUGACUACGAUGCCGAUGAUGACGAAAUUUUUCUUUCCGCGAUGGCGAUAUUAUCGUCGAUUGCAAACCGAUCGAUGAGGGUUGGAUGAUGGGCACAGUUCUGAGGACAGGCAAUUCUGGAACGAAUUCCCGCAGCUAACACAUCCGACACCUGGUGAUAUUUAGUAUUGAUCUUCAAAUUACCAUAUUGCACUAAAAAAAUGGCAGCUACGUCACAUGCCCUUAAACAUCUGAACAUAGGGCGGCGGGGUUGUUUUUCCAAGGCUUGCUUUCGGGUAUUCCAUGUUCUUCGUGAUGUUGUUUCUCAUCAACUUGCAUACAUAUGUGCCUUCUCUCCCCUUUCAUUUUUAUUCUUAACCUUAGCCACUAGCUAUGGUCGGACGCAAGAACGUGACAACAUUUUUUUUUGCCUUCUCCCCCUCCCCUUUAUAAAUGUUGGUAACAUAUCUAACUUAUUUCUUGUUAACCAAUCACUAGUUAAUUAACGGUUUCACGUAAGGUUUGUAUAAUUAAUCGCAGUUUUUUUUCUACCUACUUUUUGUUUUCACCAUUCAUUGCUUGAGAGUUUCGUUCUUUAGCUUCGUACUGAUGAAUCCGAAUGUAAAUUUUUGACGGUUUUUGACGGAUAGAGAAAACAGAUAUCUAAUUUGAAAGGAUAGCGAAGAG